GUGCUUGCUUUGGCAGCACAUAUACUAAAAUUGGAAUGAUACAGAGAAGAUUAGCAUGGCCCCUGCACAAGGAUGACACACAAUUCAUGAAAUGUUCCAUAUUUUU
rnacentral:snRNA from 1 species